rnacentral:rRNA from 1 species
AUUGAACGCUGGCGGCAUGCUUUACACAUGCAAGUCUAACGGCAGCGCGGGCUUCGGCCUGGCGGCGAGUGGCGAACGGGUGAGUAAUGCAUCGGAACGUGCCCAGUAGUGGGGGAUAGCCCGGCGAAAGCCGGAUUAAUACCGCAUACGACCUGAGGGUGAAAGCGGGGGACCGAAAGGCCUCGCGCUAUUGGAGCGGCCGAUGUCGGAUUAGCUAGUUGGUGGGGUAAAGGCUUACCAAGGCGACGAUCCGUAGCUGGUCUGAGAGGACGACCAGCCACACUGGGACUGAGACACGGCCCAGACUCCUACGGGAGGCAGCAGUGGGGAAUUUUGGACAAUGGGGGCAACCCUGAUCCAGCCAUGCCGCGUGCGAGAAGAAGGCCUUCGGGUUGUAAACCGCUUUUGUUCGGGAAGAAAUCCUCUGGGCUAAUACCCCGGGGGGAUGACGGUACCGGAAGAAUAAGCACCGGCUAACUGCGUG